ensembl:lncRNA
GGAGGUGGGACUUCCUGUUCUGGCCUGUCAAUGGGGAGGUGGGACUUCCUGUUUUGCUCUAUACGAGGUGGGACUUCCUGUUCUGCUCCAUAUGAGGUGGGACUUCCUGUUUUCCUCAGUCCAUGGGGAGGUGGGACUUCCUGUUCUGCUCUGUAUGGGAUGGGAUUUCCUGUUUUCCUCAGUCUGUGGGAAGGUGGGACUUCCUGUUUUGCUCCUUAGGGGAGGUGGGACUUCCUCUUCUGCUCCAUAAUGGGGAGGUGGGACUUCCUGUUCUGCUCUAUUGGGGAGGUGGGACUUCCUGNNNNNNNNNNNNNNNNNNNNNNGUUUUGCUCCUUAGGGGAGGUGGGACUUCCUGUUUUGCUCCUUAGGGGAGGUGGGACUUCCUGUUCUGCUCUAUUGGGGAGAUGGGACUUCCUGUUUUGCUCCAUAUUGGGGUGGGACUUCCUGUUUUCCUCAGUCCAAGGGGAGAUGGGUCUUCCUGCUGGGGGUAGGACUUCCUGCUCUGCUCCAUAGGGGAGGUGGGACUUCCUGUUUUACUCAGACAAUGAGGAGGUGGGACUUCCUGUUUUGCUCCUUAGGGAAGGUCUGGACUUCCUGUUCUGCUCUAUAUGGGGUGGGACUUCCUCUUUUGCUCUGCAUGGGGGGUGGGACUUCCUGUUCUGCUCCAUAGGGGAGGUGGGACUUCCUGUUCUGCUCUAUUGGGGAGGUGGGACUUCCUGUUUUGCUCCAUGGGGAAUGGGACUUCCUGUUCUUCUCUGUAUGGGGUGGGAUUUCGUGUUUUGCUCCAUAGGGGGGUGGGACUUCCUGUUCUGCUCUAUAUGAGGUGGGACUUCCUGUUAUGCACCAUAGGGGAGGUGGGACUUCCUUUUUUGCUCCAUAGGAGGGUGGGACUUCCUGUUUUGCUCCAAUUGGGGAGGUGGAACUUUCUGUUCUGCUCUUUAUGGGAUGGGACUUCCUGUUUAACUGCAUAUUGGGGUGGGACUUCCUGUUUUCCUCAGUCCAUGGGGAGGUGGGACUUCCUGUUCUGCUCCAUGGGGGAGGUGGCAUUUCCUCUUCUGCUCUAUAUGGGGUGGGACUUCCUGUUUUGCUCCAUAGCGGGGUGGGACUUCCUGUUUUGCUCCAUUGGGGAGAUGAAUUUCCUGUGUUUUUCUACAGGGGAGGUCAGACUUCCUGUUUGCUUUAUGUGGGGACUUCCUGUUCUGCUCUUUAUGGGGUGGGAUUUCCUUUCCUCAGUCCGUGGGAAGGUGGGACUUCCUGUUCUGCUCCAUGGGGGAGGUGGGACUUCCUGUUUUGCUCUAUAUGGGGUGGGACUUCCUGUUUUGCUCCAUUGGGGAGAUGAAUUUCCUGUGUUUUUCCACAGGAGAGAUCAAACUUCCUGUUUUGCUCCAUAGGGGAGGUGGGACUUCCUGCUCUGCUCUAUAUGGGGUGGAACUUCCUGUUUUCCUCAGUCCGUGGGGAGGUGGGAUUUCCUGUUCUGCUCCAUAGGGGAGGUGGGACUUCCUGUUCUGCUCUAUAUGGGGUGGAACUUCAUGUUUUCCUCAGUCCGUGGGGAGGUGGGAUUUCCUGUUCUGCUCCAUAGGGGAGGUGGGACUUCCUGUUCUGCUCUAUAUGGGGUGGAACUUCCUGUUUUCCUCAGUCCGUGGGGAGGUGGGACUUCCUGUUUUGCUCCAUAGGGGAGGUGGGACUUCCUGUUAUCACCUCCCAGGCAAAGACCCCACAGUUGGGGGCUGCGCUAUGGGGCUGGCUGCUAUGGGGCUGGGUGCUAUGGGGCUCUAUGGGGUCCUGGGUGCUAUGGGACUCUAUGGGGCUCUAUGGGGCUCUAUGGGACUCUAUGGGGCUCUAGGUGCUAUGGGUGCUAUGGGGCUCUAUAGGGCCCUAGGUGCUAUGGGGCUCUAUGGGGUCCUGGGUGCUAUGGGGCUCUCUGGGACUCUAUGGGGCUCUAUGGGGCACUAGUUGCUAUGGGGCUGGGUGCUAUGGGGUUCUAUGGGGCUCUAUGGGACUCUAUGGGGCUCUAUAGGGUUCUAUGGGGCCCUGGGUGCUAUGGGACUCUAUGGGACUCUAUAGGGCUCUAGGUGCUAUGGGUGCUAUGGGGCUGGGUGCUAUGGGGCUCUAUGGGACUCUAUGGGGUCUU